ACGAACGCUGGCGGCGUGCUUAACACAUGCAAGUCGAACGGUGAAGCGCCUUCCUUUUUGGUGGGUGUGGAUGAGAGGCGAACGGGUGAGUAACACGUGAGUAACCUGCCCCCUUCUUCUGGAUAACCGCAUGAAAGUGUGGCUAAUACGGGAUAUUCUGGGUCUGUCGCAUGAUGGGUCUGGGAAAGAUAUUGUUUCGGUGGGGGAUGGGCUCGCGGCCUAUCAGCUUGUUGGUGGGGUGAUGGCCUACCAAGGCGGUGACGGGUAGCCGGCCUGAGAGGGUGGACGGUCACACUGGGACUGAGACACGGCCCAGACUCCUACGGGAGGCAGCAGUGGGGAAUAUUGCACAAUGGGCGCAAGCCUGAUGCAGCGACGCCGCGUGAGGGAUGGAGGCCUUCGGGCUGUGAACCUCUUUCGCCAGUGAAGCAGGCCUGCCUCGUUUGUGGGUGGGUUGACGGUAGCUGGAGAAGAAGCGCCGGCUAACUACGUG
rnacentral:rRNA from 1 species